rnacentral:rRNA from 1 species
AGUUUGAUUAUGGCUCAGAUUGAAUGCUGGUGGGAUGCUGAUACAUAAAUGAACGGCAGCAUCGACUUCGGUCUGGUGGCGAGGGCGAACGGGUGAGUAAUGUGAUUGAACGUGCCUAGUAGCGGGGAUAAAUUACGUGAAAGCGUAGCUUAAUACGCAUGACGCCCUUCGGGGAAAGCGGGGACCUUCAAUAUUCGCACCAUUAGAUGGCCGAUAUCGGAUUAGCUAGUUGGUGGGGUGGUUCUGGUCACCAAGGCGACGAUCCGUAGCUGGUUUGAGAGGACGACCAGCCACACUGGGACCGAGACAUUCGGCCCAGACUCCUACGGAGGCAGCAGGGAAUUUUGACAAUGGGAACCCUGAUCCAGCCAUUCAUGUGCGAUGAAGGCCUUCGGGCUUGUAAAGCACUUUUGGCAGGAAAGAACGGCACGGGAUAAUACCCCGUGCAACUGACGGUACCUGCAGAAUAAGCACCGCUAACUACGUGCCAGCAGCCGCGGUAAUACGUAGGGUGCAAGCGCGACCGAAUUAUCGGGCGUAAAGCGUGCGCAGGCGGUUCGGAAAGAAAGAUGUGGAAUCCCAGAGCUUAACUUUGGAACUGCAUUUUCAACUACCGAGCUAGAGUGUGUCAGAGGAGGUGGAAUUCCGCGUGUAGUAGUGAAAUGCGUAGAUAUGCGGAGGAACACCGAUGGCGAAGGCAGCCUCCUGGGAUAACACUCUUGACGCUCAUGCACGAAAGCGUGUGGGGAGCAAAUGAUAUUUAGAUACCCGGUAGUCCACGCCCUAAACGAUGUCAAAUUAGCUGUUGGGGCCUUCGGGCCUUGGUAGCGCAGCUAACGCGUGAAGUUGACCGCCUGGGAGCAUGGUCGCAAGAUUAACCGUAAAGGAAUUGACGGGGACUCCGCACAAGCGGUGGAUGAUGUGGAUUAAUUCGAUGCAACGCGAAAAACUCACCUACCCUGACAUGUCUGAAUCCCGAAGAGAUUUGGGAGUGCUCGCAAGAGAACCGGAACACAGGUGCUGUACGGCUGUCGUCACCGUGUCGAGAUGUUGGGUUAAGUCCCGCAACGAGCGCAAACCCUUGUCAUUAGUUGCUACGAAAGGGCACUCUAAUGAGACUGCCGGUGACAAACUGAGGAAGGUGGGGAUGACGUCAAGUCCUCAUGGCCCUUGCAGGGUAGGGCUUCACACGUCAUACAAUGGUCGGGACAGGUCGCCAACCCGCGAGGGGGAUAAUCCCAGAAACCCGAUCGUAGGUCCGGAUCGCAGUCUACAACUCGACUGCGUGAAGUCGGAAUCGUUAUAAUCGCGGAUCAGCAUGUCGCGGUGAAUACGUCUUCGGUCUUGUACACUGCCCGCUACACCAAGGAGUGGGUUUUACCAGAAGUAGUUAGCCUAACCGUAAGGAGGGCGAUUACCACGGUAGGAUUCAUGACUGGGGUGAAGUCGUAACAAGGUAG